CUAUACAUGACUCUGCGCAUAUCAAUAAGCGGAGGAAAAGAAACUAACAAGGAUUCCCUUAGUAACGGCGAGUGAAGCGGGAAGAGCUCAAAUUUGAAAUCUUCAAGGUUUUACCUUGACGAAUUGUAGUUUAUAGAAGUGUUUUCUGUUAGUGGAGUUGGUAAAAGUUCUUUGGAAUAGGACAUCAUAGAGGGUGAGAAUCCCGUAUUUGGAUCCAUUAUUUCCAGCUGUGUGAUACACUUUCAAAGAGUCGGAUUGCUUGGGAAUGCAGUCCAAAAUGGGUGGUAAAUUUCAUCUAAAGCUAAUAUUGGCGAGAGACCGAUAGCGAACAAGUACCGUGAGGGAAAGAUGAAAAGAACUUUGAAAAGAGAGUUAAACAGUACGUGAAAUUGUCAAAAGGGAAGCGUUUGACACCAGUGUUGUCUUCUCGAAAAUCAAUUAAGAAAGUUUGAUUUUGAGGAGUUGCAUUGACCUUAAUCAGGCUUGCUUCACUCUUUUCCUGAACUUUUUUAAUGCACUUUUCGGUUAACAAGUCAACAUCAAUUUCUUUUGUUGUAAAAGGGUCAUUGAGGAAGGUGGCUUUCUUUUCGGAGAAAGUGUUUAUAGCCUUGUGAUCUCUGCAAUCGGAGAGACUGAGGUCUGCAGCGUAGAUCCUUCGGGGUUAGAUACAUUUGUGCUAAGUUAUAGCCUUUCAUAGACAACUUGUUGACUAUGAUCAGUCAUGUAGCUUACUCGCUUAUGCUAUUUUACCUACGCUUAGGAUGUUGACACACGCGCGUGCUCG
rnacentral:rRNA from 1 species